rnacentral:sRNA from 1 species
AAAUAAUUUCAUGGGCAUUAAUUGCAUGAAUGUGGUUAGAUUAAAAGGUGUUCAGCCAGAACUUGUAGUUCCAUACUAGCAGAGGGAUACCAUGCAAGAUAACCUGAUAAAGCUCCAGCAGGAAAUGGCUGAACUAGAAGCUGUGUUAGAACAGCAUGGGAGCCAGCCUUCUAACAGCUACCCUUCCAUCAUAAGUGACUCUUCUGCCCUUGAGGACCUGCAAAAUCCAGAACAAAGCACAUCAGAAAAAGUAUUAACUUCACAGAAAAGUAGUGAAUACCCUAUAAGCCAGAAUCCAGAAGGCCUUUCUGCUGACAAGUUUGAGGUGUCUGCAGAUAGUUCUACCAGUAAAAAUAAAGAACCAGGAGUGGAAAG